GGUCUUAACAGGCCGAAACCCCUCAUGAGUCAACCCGACCUAAGUAAGUUUCAUGUUUUUACUGGCAAAACAACAGUUUGGUUAAUCAACCUCUAUUAGUCUAUUACGGUUACAAACCCUUUAAAGUUUAGGCCCGCGAAAAAAUCUAAAAUAGCCUAACGGCAAAGCAGGCGGUUGGCUGCUUUGUUAACCACCGUUGUGAUUUCUUCUCCACUCUACUGAUAUCAUUUGUCUUCUAUUUCUCAGCAAAACCCUAGAAAAAUUUCUAAAUUCUUGCAAAGUUAAUCUAUUAAUCAACACUCAAGUUCCAGGAACUUUGGUUUACUGCACCAUUCGCAAAAAUAAAGGAGAAGGUAAUAGCGUAUCAGAAAACUGCAUAUGAUGCCUAUAUUUGGUAGCCCAAGGAGAAGCUGGAAUAGAUGCAUCAUGAGCUAUGUUGGAAUCUGUGAUGGAUGAGAAGUCUCAGAUAUCUAUGGCUCUUUCAACCUGUUGUUGUUCAGAAGCAGGCUGCUUUGUGGUGGAGAAGCACUUUGAGCCUAUCAUGAGGAGGAUUAGAUGAGUUCGACUGAUGGGGUUAUACUCUCAGAUUCCAUUUUAUUUAUUUAUUCAUUUAUUAGUUCCACUCUUUCGUAAAAUUAUUUUUGGUUGUAUGAAGGAUGAAAGGUAACACAAUCGUUCUUUUACAACUUCUCACUUGUUAAGGAAGACGCUUCCCCUUCAGGAGAUAGAGUGGCUACUUUGCAAGCUGAGAAAACAUCAUUAUGUUUGCCUAAUGGGGUUAAGGCUGGACCGGGAGGGUUACAGGAGAUUUCCGUUGUUUCUAGAAAUCUAGAUGUACAGCGAAGUUACCAAGAGGGGUGUCCAGUCACAAAGUCUUAAGCCUACAAAUUAUGAACAAAGGGACUGAAGAGGGAAGAGGAAUUGAGCAAGCAGUCAGACGUUGAGGUCAAAGAGUUCACUUAAGGAUCAAGUUAGAACUUUUGAUGCUUUUCUCUGCCUUGCGGUUUCUGAUGGUAAUUUGUCAUGUCAUUAUCUGUAUUACAAUAUUGUGGAAACUGUAGUCGAAACGUUUCCUUAAUGUUAAAGCCUAAUAUUAUGAUUAAUUAACACAAUACUUUGUCGAA